CUUUAUUUUAAUUAUUUAUUUUUUAUUUUGUCUUUAGGCCCUUUUUAUUAAAGAUAAAAAAUGAAAUAGUUAAUAUUUAUAUAGGAAAUGUACAGCAUUUUAUUAUGUUUGUAAUCACAGACAUGUUCCUUCUUUUAAAUCUGUAUUGUGUGAUUUAAAUGUGCUACGUAGCAAAUAACAUUUUCCAGGAUUUAUUUGAUAAGAUUAAAGUCCUGGUCGGGAAACGUAAGCGACACGUGUUAAGUUUAACGACGAAUUGAAAUGCGAUGACUUAAAACCAAUGAAAAGAAGAUAUGGGUGGUCAGGAGGUCAGGCUCCACCCCUUGGAUCAGAUCCAGCCCCACCCCCUGGACUUGUGGUUCUGCAGCGAGGGGUACUUGCUCUCUCCGGACUCAGAGCUCCAGAUCCGCCAUGCUGGGACUCGUACGCUAACUUGUCACGCCGCUCCGCUCCUCCUGCUUUCUCCUGAAUCCUCCUGAGAGAGACCUGCACUGAGUACCUGGAGUUCAGAUUGGCCUGAAGGCUCGUGCUUCUUCCUCAGCUUUCUCGGACGUGGGAACCCGUGGGAUUAGUUUUAAUGAAUCAAUAUUCGCCUCUCGAUGCCAUGCCGUUCAAAGGUAACCUCACGCUACCCAAGAUCCCGGAGUCUAACAUGGCUCUCAGCGUGUUGGGAGUCUUCCUGGGAUUGCUUCUGGAAGUUUCUGCUCAUGGACCCUCCAGUGUUCCAAGAAGUUCAUGGAGACGUGAAGGUAAGAAGUGCUUUAAAAUGAGUUAUUUAGCUGGUUUUGGUGUUUUUAUGCACAGAAAUUGUGAAU
rnacentral:lncRNA from 1 species